rnacentral:snoRNA from 11 species
UGUGCUCUUGGAGGAUGAGGCCUGAGAGUGAUCCAUCGGCAGAGUGCCCAGUGCAAUGGUGAAACUCAUGCAGCUGACGGAGCACA